rnacentral:rRNA from 1 species
GGAAUCGCUAGUAAUCGCGGAUCAGAAUGCCGCGGUGAAUACGUUCCCGGGUCUUGUACACACCGCCCGUCACACCAUGGGAGUCAGUAACGCCCGAAGUCAGUGACCCAACCUUAGGGAGGGAGCUGCCGAAGGCGGGACGGAUAACUGGGGUGAAGUCGUAACAAGGUAAC